GUGUUGGUGGUGUAGUGGUUAACACGCUUGGGCAGAGUGUUGUAUUAUAUUGCGUACACUACGUGGAUUCAAUUUCUGUACAACACAUGAGGUUUCAAGUUCCUCUGCCCAAGAGCCCCCGGUUCGAACCCGUGGCCAACACA